UUAAAUUAAACUAAAAAAUAACCAAUCAACCAACCAUCAACCAACUUAGCACAUAAUGAAAUUUAAAUUUCAAAAAAAUAUUUUAUCUAACACAUGGUAGGCAUAAAAUAAAAGUAAAUAGUUUGAGAAAAUACUCAUUUAAUUAAUGGAAAUCCAAUUAAACACAAGAGUUUGUUAAUAUCUUUAUUAAUAUAACCUUCAAGAAGGAGGAAGAAAUAAAACAACAAAAAUAAAAUCUAUCCUAAAAAAGAAAAUAG
rnacentral:lncRNA from 1 species